rnacentral:rRNA from 1 species
UACGUAGGCAGCGAGCGUUGUUCGGAAUUACUGGGCGUAAAGCGUGUGUAGGCGGUCUCAUAAGUCGGGUGUGAAAGCCCCGGGCUCAACCCGGGAAGUGCACUCGAAACUGCGAGGCUAGAGUACUGGAGAGGUUGGUGGAAUUCUCGGUGUAGAGGUGAAAUUCGUAGAUAUCGAGAGGAACACCGGUGGCGAAGGCGGCCAACUGGACAGAUACUGACGCUGAGACACGAAAGCGUGGGGAGCAAACAGG